rnacentral:tRNA from 10 species
GGGUGUUAGCUCAGUUGGUUAGAGCGCCGGCCUGUCACGUCGGAGGUCGCGAGUUCAAGUCUCGUACAU